AGAGUUUGAUCAUGGCUCAGGACGAACGCUGGCGGCGUGCUUAACACAUGCAAGUCGAGCGGAAAGGCCACUUCGGUGGUACUCGAGCGGCGAACGGGUGAGUAACACGUGAGUAAUCUGCCCUCCACUUUGGGAUAGCUCCGGGAAACCGGAGUUAAUACCGGAUAUGACCCUUCCACGCAUGUGGGUGGGUGGAAAGUUUUUCGGUGGGGGAUGGGCCCGCGGCCUAUCAGCUUGUUGGUGGGGUGAUGGCCUACCAAGGCGACGACGGGUAGCCGGCCUGAGAGGGCGACCGGCCACACUGGGACUGAGACACGGCCCAGACUCCUACGGGAGGCAGCAGUGGGGAAUAUUGCGCAAUGGGCGGAAGCCUGACGCAGCGACGCCGCGUGGGGGAUGACGGCCUUCGGGUUGUAAACCUCUUUCGACUUCGACGAAGCCUUUUGGGGUGACGGUAGGGGUGGAAGAAGCACCGGCCAACUACGUGCCAGCAGCCGCGGUAACACGUAGGGUGCGAGCGUUGUCCGGAAUUAUUGGGCGUAAAGAGCUCGUAGGCGGUGUGUCGCGUCGGCCGUGAAAACCUGUGGCUUAACUAUGGGCUUGCGGUCGAUACGGGCAUCACUGGAGUUCGGCAGGGGAGACUGGAAUUCCUGGUGUAGCGGUGAAAUGCGCAGAUAUCAGGAGGAACACCGGUGGCGAAGGCGGGUCUCUGGGCCGAUACUGACGCUGAGGAGCGAAAGCGUGGGGAGCGAACAGGAUUAGAUACCCUAGUAGUCC
rnacentral:rRNA from 1 species